rnacentral:rRNA from 1 species
UUGGGGAUGCAGGCUCUGAUGGAUGUUCGGUGCAAGAAUCUAGUGAACCCUGUAGGCGACUGGCUCGGUGAGAUUUACGAGCCCGCCUCCAGGGAAUUUGUGAUUCCGGGACGUGGAAUACUGCCGUUAGACGAGGAAUCCGUGUUCUGCACGUUGGGUGUGCCCCGUGGAGAAAUCAAAGUCCCCUAUGAGGUCAAUAAUACGAUUGAGGAAACGUUGUUUGCCCGUUUGUUUCCUGGGAUGACAUCCAUGCCGAACACGACCGUGCUGGCAACUUCGCUGGAGGGCAUGAAAACCCAUGGCGAAGUUUCUAAGAUGAAGCUACUCAUGUACCUGAUCUCAGCUGUUUUUGCGUCGACCACAUCUCUCCGCCCAAGCAACAAAUGCUUCCCCAUCCUGGCAAAACUAAAAGAAGUGAAGAACAUGAAUUGGUGUAAGUUCAUUGCAGACUUCCUGCAUGAUGCAUUCUCAAACAAGAUGUACCAGAAGGGUUGUCGACUCCAUUUAAUGCUCAUGUACGUCGAUCGUCUUGAUCUGUCCACUGUGGACUUUACUGGGAUAGGAGGCCCGCCGCCUCCACACAAGUUUGUUGUUUCUGCGUGGACUUAUGAUGCUGUCAAGGCUGUGCUUGCCACGGACAAGAUAACUGAUAAGAAAUACGAGAAACUGCAGCUGAUGGCCAAGCAUGCUAUAGACUACAGCGUGUUUGGUGGGCCUCAAAACUUUGGAAUGUGGAUGGACGUGCACUCAACUCCGUCUUGUCCUGUUGAGGCGAGGGCAUCUAUUGAGCAUCUAAUUGGGCAGUUUGCAUCCGGAAUGACCAGCUUGCUCGGGAAGUUGGUUGAGGGUUGGACGUCCCUUAAUGGCUCUGACAGCGACGCGGUUACGAGGCAGUUGACUCCUUUUGUUGCAGAACGGACACAUCGGCCAACUGGUUGCCGUGGUCAGUACGACUACAACAGCUCGCAGGAGCUUCCGGACACACAAGAUGAACUAGAUGGAGAUGCUGCUCUCGACAAGGACGAGGACGAUGACAUGGAGAACGUGCAUCAUGACACCGAUGAUGAUGAACAUGUUGAAGUUCGUGCAGGUGGUAAGAAGGGCAAGGGUGCACCAGAUGUCCCCUCA